rnacentral:rRNA from 1 species
GAUGAACGCUAGCGACAGGCCUAACACAUGCAAGUCGAGGGGUAGCAGGGUGUGGCAAUACACUGCUGACGACCGGCGCACGGGUGAGUAACGCGUACGCAAUCUACCUUCUACACUAGGAUAGCCCGUUGAAAGACGGAUUAAUACUGGAUAACACAGGGAUACCGCAUGGUAAUAUUUGUUAAAGAUUCAUCGGUAGAAGAUGAGCAUGCGUUCCAUUAGCCAGUUGGUGAGGUAACGGCUCACCAAAGCAACGAUGGAUCGGGGAACUGAGAGGUUUAUCCCCCACACUGGUACUGAGACACGGACCAGACUCCUACGGGAGGCAGCAGUGAGGAAUAUUGGUCAAUGGACGGAAGUCUGACCCAGCCAAGUCGCGUGAAGGAAGACGGCCCUACGGGUUGUAAACUUCUUUUGUACUAGAGUAAAAAAGAGUAUGUAUACUCUCUUGCAAGUAUAGUACGAAUAAGCAUCGGCUAACUCCGUGCCAGCAGCCGCCGUAAGAC